UACGUAGGGUGCAAGCGUUGUCCGGAAUUAUUGGGCGUAAAGAGCUCGUAGGCGGUCUGUUGCGUCGGCUGUGAAAACCCGGGGCUCAACCCCGGGCCUGCAGCCGAUACGGGCAGACUAGAGUUCGGCAGGGGAGAUUGGAAUUCCUGGUGUAGCGGUGGAAUGCGCAGAUAUCAGGAGGAACACCGAUGGCGAAGGCAGGUCUCUGGGCCACUACUGACGCUGAGAAGCGAAAGCAUGGGGAGCGAACAGG
rnacentral:rRNA from 1 species